AUUGAACGCUGGCGGCAUGCCUUACACAUGCAAGUCGAACGGCAGCACGGGGGCAACCCUGGUGGCGAGUGGCGAACGGGUGAGUAAUACAUCGGAACGUGCCCAGUCGUGGGGGAUAACGUAGCGAAAGUUACGCUAAUACCGCAUACGAUCUACGGAUGAAAGCGGGGGACCGUAAGGCCUCGCGCGAUUGGAGCGGCCGAUGUCAGAUUAGGUAGUUGGUGAGGUAAAGGCUCACCAAGCCGACGAUCUGUAGCUGGUCUGAGAGGACGACCAGCCACACUGGGACUGAGACACGGCCCAGACUCCUACGGGAGGCAGCAGUGGGGAAUUUUGGACAUUGGGCGCAAGCCUGAUCCAGCCAUUCCGCGUGCAGGACGAAGGCCUUCGGGUUGUAAACUGCUUUUGUACGGAACGAAAAGGCUCUGGUUAAUACCUGGGGCUCAUGACGGUACCGUAAGAAUAAGCACCGGCUAACUACGUGCCAGCAGCCGCCGCAG
rnacentral:rRNA from 1 species